rnacentral:rRNA from 1 species
UAGGUGAUCUCAAUUCAACAUCGAGGUGAUAAACCUUGUCUUCGAUAAGGACUCUUUGACAAGAUUAUCCUGUUAUCCCUAAAGUAGCUUUUAUUUUUUGAUCGUUAGAUUAUUUUUAGACAUUUUAACGGGUCAUUAUAACCUACUUUGUAACUGUUAAAUAUAUAGAUUAAACAGUAAAUUUUUUAUUAAUGUAGUUAAUCUCUGUUUUUUUUUAGAGACCAUCUCCCCAAUGAAACUACCAUCCCCUUUAUUUUUUAUUAAUUUUUUUUUUAUUAUUAGAUUAAAAGAGUUAUAGUUAAGCUUUAUAGGGUCUUUUCGUCUUACAGUUUUAAAUAGAAUCUUAACUAUUAUUUUAAUUUUUUUAUUAUUUUAUAAGACAGUGAGAUUUUCGUUUAGCCAUUCAUACUAUCCACUAAUUAAGUGGCGAGCAAUUACGCUACAUUCAUACAGUCAUAGUUACUGCAGCCAUUCAACUUUUUUUUAUUUAACUUAUUUGUUUAAAUCUAAUUAGAGUCAUUGGGC